GAGUAAUGUCUGGGAAACUGCCUGAUGGAGGGGGAUAACUACUGGAAACGGUGGCUAAUACCGCAUAACGUCGCAAGACCAAAGAGGGGGACCUUCGGGCCUCUUGCCAUCAGAUGUGCCCAGAUGGGAUUAGCUUGUUGGUGAGGUAACGGCUCACCAAGGCGACGAUCCCUAGCUGGUCUGAGAGGAUGACCAGCCACACUGGAACUGAGACACGGUCCAGACUCCUACGGGAGGCAGCAGUGGGGAAUAUUGCACAAUGGGCGCAAGCCUGAUGCAGCCAUGCCGCGUGUAUGAAGAAGGCCUUCGGGUUGUAAAGUACUUUCAGCGGGGAGGAAGGUGUUGCGGUUAAUAACCGCAGCAAUUGACGUUACCCGCAGAAGAAGCACCGGCUAACUCCGUGCCAGCAGCCGCGGUAAUACGGAGGGUGCAAGCGUUAAUCGGAAUUACUGGGCGUAAAGCGCACGCAGGCGGUCUGUCAAGUCGGAUGUGAAAUCCCCGGGCUCAACCUGGGAACUGCAUUCGAAACUGGCAGGCUUGAGUCUUGUAGAGGGGGGUAGAAUUCCAGGUGUAGCGGUGAAAUGCGUAGAGAUCUGGAGGAAUACCGGUGGCGAAGGCGGCCCCCUGGACAAAGACUGACGCUCAGGUGCGAAAGCGUGGGGAGCAAACAGGAUUAGAUACCCUGGUAGUCCACGCCGUAAACGAUGUCUACUUGGAGGUUGUGCCCUUGAGGCGUGGCUUCCGGAGCUAACGCGUUAAGUAGACCGCCUGGGGAGUACGGCCGCAAGGUUAAAACUCAAAUGAAUUGACGGGGGCCCGCACAAGCGGUGGAGCAUGUGGUUUAAUUCGAUGCAACGCGAAGAACCUUACCUGGUCUUGACAUCCACGGAAGUUUUCAGAGAUGAGAAUGUGCCUUCGGGAACCGUGAGACAGGUGCUGCAUGGCUGUCGUCAGCUCGUGUUGUGAAAUGUUGGGUUAAGUCCCGCAACGAGCGCAACCCUUAUCCUUUGUUGCCAGCGGUUAGGCCGGGAACUCAAAGGAGACUGCCAGUGAUAAACUGGAGGAAGGUGGGGAUGACGUCAAGUCAUCAUGGCCCUUACGACCAGGGCUACACACGUGCUACAAUGGCGCAUACAAAGAGAAGCGACCUCGCGAGAGCAAGCGGACCUCAUAAAGUGCGUCGUAGUCCGGAUUGGAGUCUGCAACUCGACUCCAUGAAGUCGGAAUCGCUAGUAAUCGUGGAUCAGAAUGCCACGGUGAAUACGUUCCCGGGCCUUGUACACACCGCCCGUCACACCAUGGGAGUGGGUUGCAAAAGAAGUAGGUAGCUUAACCUUCGGGAGGGCGCUUACCACUUUGUGAUUCAUGACUGGGGUGAAGUCGUAACAAGGUAACCGUAGGGGAACCUGCGGUUGGA
rnacentral:rRNA from 1 species